rnacentral:tRNA from 1 species
AUUUUCUCAGUAUAAUAUGUACAUCUGCCUUCCACUCAGAAAGUUUGAUCUCAAAGAAAAUA